AAACCAGCACCUCAAGUGGUCAGGAUGAUUAUUGGGCCUAAAGCAUCCGUAGCCUGCUCUGUAAGUUUUCGGUUAAAUCUGUACGCUCAACGUAUGGGCUGCCGGAAAUACUGCAUAGCUAGGGAGUGGGAGAGGUAGACGGUACUCGGGAGGAAGGGGUAAAAUCCUUUGAUCUCUCGAUGACCACCUGUGGCGAAGGCGGUCUACCAGAACACGUCCGACGGUGAGGGAUGAAAGCUGGGGGAGCAAACCGGAUUAGAAACCCGGGUAGUCC
rnacentral:rRNA from 1 species